UAGGGAAUCUUCGGCAAUGGGGGCAACCCUGACCGAGCAACGCCGCGUGAGUGAAGAAGGUUUUCGGAUCGUAAAGCCCUGUUGUAAGAGAAGAACGAGUGUGAGAGUGGAAAGUUCACGCUGUGACGGUAUCUUACCAGAAAGGGACGGCUAACUACGUGCCAGCAGCCGCGGUAAUACGUAGGUCCCGAGCGUUAUCCGGAUUUAUUGGGCGUAAAGCGAGCGCAGGCGGUUAGAUAAGUCUGAAGUUAAAGGCUGUGGCUUAACCAUAGUACGCUUUGGAAACUGUUUAACUUGAGUGCAGAAGGGGAGAGUGGAAUUCCAUGUGUAGCGGUGAAAUGCGUAGAUAUAUGGAGGAACACCGGUGGCGAAAGCGGCUCUCUGGUCUGUAACUGACGCUGAGGCUCGAAAGCGUGGGGAGCAAACAGGAUUAGAUACCCUGGUAGUCCACGCCGUAAACGAUGAGUGCUAGGUGUUGGGUCCUUUCCGGGACUCAGUGCCGCAGCUAACGCAUUAAGCACUCCGCCUGGGGAGUACGACCGCAAGGUUG
rnacentral:rRNA from 1 species